AACCCAACGGGGAGGGCCUCAGCCCCGUCGAGUGAAGCGGCAUUAGCUCAAUUUUGAAUUCUGGCUCUUUCAGGGUCCGAGUUGUAAUUUGCAGAGGGCGCUUUGGUGUCGGCAGCGGCCUAAGUUCCUUGGAACAGGUCAUCAUAGAGGGUGAGAAUCCCGUAUGUGGCUGAUUGUCUUCACCGUGUAAAGCCCCUUCGACGAGUCGAGUUGUUUGGGAAUGCAGCUCUAAAUGGGAGGUAAAUUUCUUCUAAAGCUAAAUAUUGGCCAGAGACCGAUAGCGCACAAGUAGAGUGAUCGAAAGAUGAAAAGCACUUUGGAAAGAGAGUCAAAAAGCACGUGAAAUUGUUGAAAGGGAAGCGCUUGCAGCCAGACGUGCCUGUAGUUGCUCAUCUGGGGUUUUCCCCAGUGCACUCUUCUAUAGGCAGGCCAGCAUCAGUCCGAGCGGUUGGAGAAAGACCUGUGUCAUGUAGCUGUUUUCGAAAAGUGUUAUAGGGCAGGUGGAAUGCAACCAGCUUGGACUGAGGUCCGCGCAUCUGCUAGGAUGCUG
rnacentral:rRNA from 1 species